rnacentral:rRNA from 1 species
GACGAACGCUGGCGGCGUGCUUAACACAUGCAAGUCGAACGGAAAGUGCCCAGCUUGCUGGGUGACUCGAGUGGCGAACGGGUGAGUAACACGUGGGUGAUCUGCCCUGCACUUUGGGAUAAGCCUGGGAAACUGGGUCUAAUACCGAAUAUUUCCUGCUGGUCGCAUGGCCUGGUGGGGGAAAGCUUUUGCGGUGUGGGAUGGGCCCGCGGCCUAUCAGCUUGUUGGUGGGGUGAUGGCCUACCAAGGCGACGACGGGUAGCCGGCCUGAGAGGGUGUCCGGCCACACUGGGACUGAGAUACGGCCCAGACUCCUACGGGAGGCAGCAGUGGGGAAUAUUGCACAAUGGGCGCAAGCCUGAUGCAGCGACGCCGCGUGAGGGAUGACGGCCUUCGGGUUGUAAACCUCUUUCAAUAGGGACGAAGCGUAAGUGACGUGCCUAUAGAAAA